CCUACGGGAGGCAGCAGUGAGGAAUAUUGGUCAAUGGGCGAGAGCCUGAACCAGCCAAGUCGCGUGAGGGAGUACUGCCCUAUGGGUUGUAAACCUCUUUUGUCGGGGAGCAAAAGCCGGACGUGUCCGGCUUUGAGAGUACCCGAAGACAAAGCAUCUGCUAACUCCGUGCCAGCACCGGCGGUAAUACGGGGGAUGUGAGCGUGAUCCGGGUUUAUUGGGUUUAACGGGUGCGCAGGCGGGUUUUUAAGUCAGCGGUAAAAUCGUGGGGCUCAACCCCAUCCAGCCGUUGAAACUGGGGAUCUAGAGUGUGCGAGAGGUAGGCGGAAUGCGUGGUGUAGCGGUGAAAUGCAUAGAUAUCACGCAGAACCCCGAUUGCGAAGGCAGCAUACCGGUGCACAACUGACGCUCAGGCACGAAAGCGUGGGUAUCGAACAGGAUUAGAUACCCCAGUAGUC
rnacentral:rRNA from 1 species